CGGUAUGAUUGCUGCACCCUCAUGGAGCUCUCACAGCGCUUUGGAUUUUCGGCCGUCCGAUCGAGCUGACGUGGCGCGAUCUCGGCCGUCGUUCCGUCCAGGGCGCUGAGGCCCUCCCGCAGACCCACUUUUUAUCCAUGGGUCGCGAAAAGCCCCGCUCGGCCCGAUCUCUCGCUAGCCCUCCACCAAUCGCCACGCCCCCAAUCGCUCCCCAAUCCCCACUCCUCUGCCCGUCUCCUCCCCUUCCUCUCCCCUCGCGCCCGCAUCCCCGCCGCCGCACGCCUCUCUCCCUCUCCUCCUCUCCCCUCGCCCGUCCUCCUCCUCUCUCCCAUCGCCACCAUAUCUCGUCCCUACAACUCUCCAUUGCGCCCGGGGCCGGCGAGGAUCUUCUCCUGCACCGAGAAGCAGAAGGGGCGAGUUCGUGGGAGGAACGCCGCCGUCUUCAGCGCAAGCCGUCAAAGAGAGGAGGAGGAGGUGCUGUGGCAGCGCCUGGACUCGCUGGAGGCCGCCAGAGAUCGAGGCGCCGCAAAGGAGAUCGAGGUCGUCGACGACGCAGGUCAAGUGCGAGGAGUGACCCGGUGUGGAAACCCUAGCCGCCAUGGUCUCGUGCCCCCUCGAGCUCGUGCUGAUUCACGUCCUACGGCCCCUCGUCGAGCUUGUUGUCGUCUUGCGAGCCCAGGUUGCUGCUGAAUUGGUUCAGAAUCAAUUACAUACGUAUGCUUCCACAUGAUUGAUGAUGUGCCGACAGGAGCGGUGUUAAAUUUUUUUAACGGCUCAGAAAGUUGAUGGUGGAAGGGCUGCUUGAAUCAGAUGCUAGAUAGUUGCAGUCCUCUAAGGAAAACGGUUCCUACUGUAAAAUGAAAUUCUUGAGCGAUAGCUUGUAGUCGUGUUUGCUGUUAUUCCUUUACUGUGUGCGGGAGGUGCUGCAAUAUAUCAAGGUGCAGCUGUUCCAUGAUCCCCAGUUCGACGGCCAGCUUGAAUAGCCGGCCCAGCACUAUGCACUGUGUGUACAAGCAAGGUAUGGAUUGAAGCAAAAGUCCUUAAACAAGCAACAAGUGAUGACAUGAUCUCAAUUUGCACUACAGGCUGGUCACCUUCUCCAAAUUCUUCAAAUGUUGUGCGCUUAAGUGAAAAUGAGGUGGGAAUAUCUCGACAAGCCAUUCUGAUGUGUAUUCCAUUGGUACUUUGUUCUAUGCAUCUCCACCAAAUAACUCUAUUUAGUUGUGUCCAGCUAUUGUAGGUGAUAUCUAAUAUUGCUCUUCGCCAUUCCGCUCUACAUAAUUAUAUAUCAUGAAACACUUCAAGAGUGCUGGAAUCAGCCUUUGGGCUUAUUUUGUCCUCCAAAAGAUAUAUGAAGCAAUCAAGUAUUUUCCUGGGAGAGGUGGCAACAUCCGUGUGUUCGAUCUGUUGGCAUGGAGUGUGGCACCUAGGCGGCUAGGCCCUGGAUAUCAAUGGCGACGAGGAGCAGGUGUUGGCCAUCGCUUGUCUGGUAGUGAGACACAUGCGACUGGUACAAAUGUAAAGGCCUCCUUCCUCGCUCUGCAUUCAUGUUGGUUUUUCUUCCCGAAUCAUUUUCCUAUCAAUGUUAUUUUGGCACCACCAAAUUGCUCACCUAGCAUUUUCGAUGAAGUUCUAAAUGUGUUUUACCUUGUGGGUACAGGGAUAUUGAACCCGCUAACUAGAAGCAUUUGGGUAGGUUGGUGCCUAAGGACCCUGUUGAACACAAAAGUAUCCAAAGAUAAUUAGAUCAUGGAAGACACUAAUAUCCUGGUCCUGGAGAUUCUCUUCAUUUGAUGGAUAAGCGCUGAUGAGAUGACACACAUCUAGGAGGAUGCUAAGCAAUGUGGUGAGGAACGGUGGUUGACUGGUUGCUCAGCAUUGGUAGUAGUGUGCCCUCGAAGUUCGACAGCGGGUGUCACUGAUGUGGUAAUGAAGAGUGGAUAGGGAAGAGAAGAGGGCGGCUAUGAGCUCAUGUUUUUUAAUCUUCAUCUAAGAUGAAAUCAUUGUUCUAUUGGGAAAGGAUUAUUUCUACUUCACUGGUUAGGGUCAAGCCAUCUUCGAAGAUGGCUCCAAGGUCAUACGAGCUCCAUUCGGGCCGCUGCUGAGCAGCUGAGACCUCUUCAUUGUGGGCCCGGUGGUUGGCCAGGCUCCGCCUUCUCCAUCCUUGCUUGACGACCUCGUCCUGAGCACAGCGGAGAACAGGUCGCCGGGAUGGAUAUUGCAGCGGCUCGUCGUCUUCUCCCGCAGCUAGCCUUGUCCCUUUGCCUCCCCCUUUGGUUUGAUUAACUAAACGAUAGGUGCACCUACACUUGAUCUCAGUUCGCACAGGUUUAUUGGACACGAACCCAUACUUUCUAAUCUGAAUAAGGUGGUAGAGCUUGUUUUGCAGCCAAAUAUUUAUUUCUGCAUAAAUUUUGUUUAGGUCAUUGCAGUUGUUCAUGGUCUACGAAGCAAGAUUUUUUUCAUUGUGCAAUGACUGUUCUGAUUCAGCCCAACAAUUCAGCCAUGUGAUCUUGGUUUACAGUGUUAAGAAUUAUUCAGCAUGCUCUAAAUUUUGGCGCGCUUCAUCAUUUUGAAUUAUUUACUGAAAAUGAGCAAAUGAGUCUGUGCACAAAACAAAAUACUAAUGUGUAUUCAUGGUAGCUUUGCAGGACAAUCCUAGGGGAAGAGAUCCUGAAGAUCCAUGUCAAUCCGGGAUGGAAGAAGGGCAUGAAGAUGAACGAGCAUCGACACACAAUCACUGCGGACCUGGUGUUCAGUGUUCACACAGGAUGGCAAUGGAAUGGUGGUGAUAUAAGAGGUGCUCCUCACAUGCCCUAUUAGUACACACUAUAGACAUUGGACAUGUGCAACCUGACGGUACCUGAUGCCUAUCGGAUAAUUAUUCACUCUUUACUUAAUGCUAAUUAUCAUCGAUGUUUCCAAUUGUAGUAUAUAAAAUAAACAUUGACACAAA